AUCCAGCUGACGGAUUUCAAAUAGAACGAAACGCAUUUCCUGGAU
rfam:Schistosoma margrebowiei strain Zambia genome assembly, scaffold: SMRZ_scaffold0000046